rfam:Felis catus isolate Cinnamon breed Abyssinian chromosome B2, whole genome shotgun sequence.
GCCUGGGUGGCUCAGUUGGUUGAGCGUCCGACUUCAGCUCAGGCCACGAUCUCGCGGUCCGUGGGUUCGAGCCCCGCGUCGGGCU